rnacentral:tRNA from 1 species
GGGCCCGUAGUCUAGUGGUAAAAUGCCGCAUUCGCAUUGCGGAGUCCCGAGUUCGAUUCUCGGCGGGUCCA